rnacentral:ncRNA from 1 species
CUGGUCGAUUCUGCCAUAUUCUUGUCCUAAAAAUUAAGUAAUGCAGUCCAAAUACACAAGGCAUUUACAGUGAAACUGCGAAUGGCUCAUUAGGUCAGUUAUGGUUCCUUUGAUCACUCCAACGUUACUUGGAUAACUGUGACAAUUCUAGAGCUAAGAUAUGCCAACAAGUGCUGAACGUCAGGGACACGCACAUUUAUCAGACCCAAAACCCCCAUACAGGGUGCUCUUGGGUGACCCUUCGUGGUGGAAGUGGCGUCUUAUUCGAAUGUCUGCACAAUCGACUUUCGAUGGUAGUUUCUGUGCUGACCAUGGAGACCACGUGUAAUGGAGAAUCAGGGUUUGAUUCCAGAGAGGGAGCCUGAGAAACGGCUACCACAUCCAAGGAAGGCAGCAUUCACACAUAUUAUCCACUCCUGAUUCAUUGAGGUAGUGAUUAAAAAUGUAACAAUACAGGACUCUUUUGAAUCCCUGUAAUUGGAAUGAGUACACUUCAAAUCCUUUAAUACGGAUCCAUUACUGAUGUUUAGAACUGAUGUUUAGUAGCAUU